rnacentral:rRNA from 1 species
GCCAGCCGCCGCGGGUAACACCGGCGGCCCGAGUGGUGAUCGUGAUUAUUGGGUCUAAAGGGGUCCGUAGCCGGUUUGGUCAGUCCUCCGGGAAAUCUGAUAGCUCAACUAUUAGGCUUUCGGGGGAUACUGCCAGACUUGGAACCGGGAGAGGUAAGAGGUACUACAGGGGUAGGAGUGAAAUCUUGUAAUCCCUGUGGGACCACCUGUGGCGAAGGCGUCUUACCAGAACGGGUUCGACGGUGAGGGACGAAAGCUGGGGGCACGAACCGGAUUAGAUACCCGGGUAGUCCCAGCCGUAAACGAUGCUCGCUAGGUGUCAGGCAUGGCGCGACCGUGUCUGGUGCCGCAGGGAAGCCGUGAAGCGAGCCACCUGGGAAGUACGGCCGCAAGGCUGAAACUUAAAGGAAUUGGCGGGGGAGCACAACAACGGGUGGAGCCCUGCGGUUUAAUUGGACUCAACGCCGGACAACUCACCGGGGGCGACAGCAAUAUGUAGGCCAAGCUGAAGACUUUGCCUGAAUCGCUGAGAAGUGGUGCAUGG